rnacentral:rRNA from 1 species
GACGAACGCUGGCGGCGUGCUUAACGCAUGCAAGUCGAACGGAAAUGCCCUGCUUUUGUGGGGUGCUCGAGUGGCGAACGGGUGAGUAACACGUGAGUAACCUGCCCUUGACUUUGGGAUAACUUCAGGAAACUGGGGCUAAUACCGGAUAGGAGCUCCUGCUGCAUGGUGGGGGUUGGAAAGUUUCGGCGGUUGGGGAUGGACUCGCGGCUUAUCAGCUUGUUGGUGGGGUAGUGGCUUACCAAGGCUUUGACGGGUAGCCGGCCUGGGAGGGUGACCGGCCACAUUGGGACUGAGAUACGGCCCAGACUCCUACGGGAGGCAGCAGUGGGGAAUAUUGCACAAUGGGCGGAAGCCUGAUGCAGCAACGCCGCGUGUGGGAUGACGGCCUUCGGGUUGUAAACCGCUUUCGCCUGUGACGAAGCGUGAGUGACGGUAAUGGGUAAAGAAGCACCGGCUAACUACGU